UACAGGGGGGGGCAAGCGUUGUUCGGAAUUACUGGGCGUAAAGGGCGCGUAGGCGGCCCGCUAAGUCGAACGUGAAAUCCCCGAGCUCAACUCGGGAACUGCGUCCGAUACUGGCGGGCUUGAAUCCGGGAGAGGGAUGCGGAAUUCCAGGUGUAGCGGUGAAAUGCGUAGAUAUCUGGAGGAACACCGGUGGCGAAGGCGGCAUCCUGGACCGGCAUUGACGCUGAGGAGCGAAAGCCAGGGGAGCAAACGGG
rnacentral:rRNA from 1 species